rnacentral:rRNA from 1 species
GAUGAACGCUGGCGGUCUGCUUAACACAUGCAAGUCGAACGGRAGUAGAAAUACUUUAGUGGCGGACGGGUGAGUAACGCGUGAGAAUCUGCCCUUAGGUCGGGGACAACCAUUGGAAACGAUGGCUAAUACCGGAUAAGCCGGAAGGUAAAAGAUUAAUUGCCUAGAGAAGAGCUCGCGUCUGAUUAGCUAGUUGGUGAGGUAAAGGCUCACCAAGGCAUCGAUCAGUAGCUGGUCUGAGAGGAUGACCAGCCACACUGGGACUGAGACACGGCCCAGACUCCUACGGGAGGCAGCAGUGGGGAAUU